GACGAACGCUGGCGGCGUGCUUAACACAUGCAAGUCGAGCGGAAAGGCCACUUCGGUGGUACUCGAGCGGCGAACGGGUGAGUAACACGUGAGUAAUCUGCCUCUGGCUUCGGGAUAGCCACCGGAAACGGUGAUUAAUACCGGAUAUGACCAUUGCACGCAUGUGUGGCGGUGGAAAGUUUUUCGGCCAGGGAUGUGCUCGCGGCCUAUCAGCUUGAUGGUGAGGUAAUGGCUCACCAUGGCUUCGACGGGUAGCCGGCCUGAGAGGGUGACCGGGCACAAUGGGACUGAGACACGGCCCAGACUCCUACGAGAGGACGCAGUGGGGAACAGUGGACAAUGAGCGGAAGCCUGAUCCAGCAACGCAGCGUGAGGGAUGACGGCCUUCGGGUUGUAAACCUCUUUCGCCUGUGACGAAGCGCAAGUGACGGUAACAGGUAAAGAAGCACCGGCCAACUACGUGCCAGCCGCCGCGGUAAGAC
rnacentral:rRNA from 1 species